rnacentral:rRNA from 1 species
GACGAACGCUGGCGGCGUGCUUAACACAUGCAAGUCGAACGCUGAAGCCCUUUCGGGGGUGGAUGAGUGGCGAACGGGUGAGUAACACGUGGGUAAUCUGCCCUGUACUUCGGGAUACGCCUUGGAAACGGGGUCUAAUACCGGAUAGGACCUGUCCUCGCAUGGGGGUGGGUGGGAAGUUCCGGUGGUAUGGGAUGAGCCCGCGGCCUAUCAGCUUGUUGGUGGGGUAGUGGCCUACCAAGGCGACGACGGGUAGCCGGCCUGAGAGGGUGACCGGUCACACUGGGACUGAGACACGGCCCAGACUCCAACGGGAGGCAGCAGUGGGGAAUCUUGCGCAAUGGGCGAAAGCCUGACGCAGCAACGCCGCGUGGGGGAUGACGGCCUUCGGGUUGCAAACCUCUUUCGACAUCGACGAAGGGGCCCUGUUGUGGGGUUUUGACGGUAGGUGUAGAAGAAGCACCGGCUAACUACGUGCCAGCCGCCGCAGUAA